rnacentral:pre_miRNA from 1 species
AGGUAACAGGUUUGUUUUGUGAGUGAUAAAUUUAAAACUUCCCAGACGAACUCUGUUACCCCA